rnacentral:rRNA from 1 species
UGAGGAAUUUUGCACAAUGGGGGAAACCCUGAUGCAGCGACGCCGCGUGAGUGACGAAGGCCUUCGGGUCGUAAAGCUCUGUCAGUAGGGAAGAAAUGUGCGAUGGCUAAUAUCCAUAGUACUUGACGGUACCUACAAAGGAAGCACCGGCUAACUCCGUGCCAGCAGCCGCGGUAAUACGGAGGGUGCGAGCGUUGUUCGGAUUUACUGGGCGUAAAGGGCGCGUAGGCGGUCUUAUAAGCCAGAUGUGAAAGCCCACGGCUCAACCGUGGAAGUGCAUCUGGAACUGUAAGACUUGAGUACUGGAGGGGAGUGUGGAAUUCCCGGUGUAGAGGUGAAAUUCGUAGAUAUCGGGAGGAAUACCGGUGGCGAAGGCGACACUCUGGACAGAUACUGACGCUGAGGCGCGAAAGCGUGGGGAGCAAACAGGAUUAGAUACCCGGGUAGUCCCUGAGCGGGCUGGCAAGGCGCAU